rnacentral:rRNA from 1 species
UACGUAGGGGGCAAGCGUUGUCCGGAAUUAUUGGGCGUAAAGAGCGUGUAGGCGGCCAGGUAGGUCUGCUGUGAAAACUCGAGGCUCAACCUCGAGACGUCGGCGGAAACCGUCUGGCUAGAGUCCGGAAGAGGAGUGUGGAAUUCCUGGUGUAGCGGUGAAAUGCGCAGAUAUCAGGAAGAACACCUAUGGCGAAGGCAGCACUCUGGGACGGUACUGACGCUGAGACGCGAAAGCGUGGGGAGCGAACAGG